GUAUAUAUCCAUUGCAAGCUUGUUGCAUGGGACCCUGAGGUUCUUGAUAAAGAAAAGAAGGCUUGCCACUACAUUAAAGAGACUGGAGGAUGGGAGCUGCUGGAUGACCCGUCUCAAAGUGUCCUCUGCAAGUGCUGUGAAUCCAGUUGCAAGCCUCGGUUGAAGAGGGGCUUGCAUUCAGAACCCCAGGGCUUGGUUCAAAACGCUGUCCUUGGACCGCUCACAAUAGUGGGACACUCUGAAACCCAGAUCUCCAGUGAAUCCAUAAAGUAUCCUACUGUAGACCAAGUUGACUGGAUGGUGUAAUGGUCUGGAACACUUCGCUUGUCAGGGGUUUCUGUCUCACUGCCAUCUGCCUGUUGUAGGAGGCCGGAAGGGUGCAGCCCUUUCCAGUACAUUUGGAGAAGUGGUAGAAACUACAACCCCAUAUGGAUAUGAAGUCCUUUGACUUCAGCGUUUUUCAAUAAAUGGAGUACUUCACAA